rnacentral:tRNA from 9 species
UGGGGCGUGGCUAAGUGGUAAGGCAACGGGUUUUGGUCCCGCUAUUCGGAGGUUCGAAUCCUUCCGUCCCAG